ACAGACGAGGAGCUUGCUCCUCUGACGUUAGCGGCGGACGGGUGAGUAACACGUGGAUAACCUACCUAUAAGACUGGGAUAACUUCGGGAAACCGGAGCUAAUACCGGAUAAUAUAUUGAACCGCAUGGUUCAAUAGUGAAAGACGGUUUUGCUGUCACUUAUAGAUGGAUCCGCGCCGCAUUAGCUAGUUGGUAAGGUAACGGCUUACCAAGGCAACGAUGCGUAGCCGACCUGAGAGGGUGAUCGGCCACACUGGAACUGAGACACGGUCCAGACUCCUACGGGAGGCAGCAGUAGGGAAUCUUCCGCAAUGGGCGAAAGCCUGACGGAGCAACGCCGCGUGAGUGAUGAAGGUCUUCGGAUCGUAAAACUCUGUUAUUAGGGAAGAACAAAUGUGUAAGUAACUAUGCACGUCUUGACGGUACCUAAUCAGAAAGCCACGGCUAACUACGUGCCAGCAGCCGCGGUAAUACGUAGGUGGCAAGCGUUAUCCGGAAUUAUUGGGCGUAAAGCGCGCGUAGGCGGUUUUUUAAGUCUGAUGUGAAAGCCCACGGCUCAACCGUGGAGGGUCAUUGGAAACUGGAAAACUUGAGUGCAGAAGAGGAAAGUGGAAUUCCAUGUGUAGCGGUGAAAUGCGCAGAGAUAUGGAGGAACACCAGUGGCGAAGGCGACUUUCUGGUCUGUAACUGACGCUGAUGUGCGAAAGCGUGGGGAUCAAACAGGAUUAGAUACCCUGGUAGUCCACGCCGUAAACGAUGAGUGCUAAGUGUUAGGGGGUUUCCGCCCCUUAGUGCUGCAGCUAACGCAUUAAGCACUCCGCCUGGGGAGUACGACCGCAAGGUUGAAACUCAAAGGAAUUGACGGGGACCCGCACAAGCGGUGGAGCAUGUGGUUUAAUUCGAAGCAACGCGAAGAACCUUACCAAAUCUUGACAUCCUCUGACCCCUCUAGAGAUAGAGUUUUCCCCUUCGGGGGACAGAGUGACAGGUGGUGCAUGGUUGUCGUCAGCCGUGUCGUGAGAUGUUGGGUUAAGUCCCGCAACGAGCGCAACCCUUAAGCUUAGUUGCCAUCAUUAAGUUGGGCACUCUAAGUUGACUGCCGGUGACAAACCGGAGGAAGGUGGGGAUGACGUCAAAUCAUCAUGCCCCUUAUGAUUUGGGCUACACACGUGCUACAAUGGACAAUACAAAGGGUAGCGAAACCGCGAGGUCAAGCAAAUCCCAUAAAGUUGUUCUCAGUUCGGAUUGUAGUCUGCAACUCGACUAUAUGAAGCUGGAAUCGCUAGUAAUCGAGAUCC
rnacentral:rRNA from 1 species